CAGAAAGUCCAACUGCACUGAAAAACUCACCAUGGCCCUGGCCUUGCUGUCCUUGGUGCUUCUCAAUUGCUGUGCUGGUGUACAUUCUCAGGGAAUGUUGACUCAGCUGGCUUCAGUGUCUGGAUCCCUGGGACAGAAGGUCACACUCUCCUGCACCAAAGGCAGUGGAAGCUGGGAUAGUGGUAUUGGUUGGGUUCAACAGAAAUCUGGAGAGGCCCCUCGCUUUGUCCACUGCAAUGGCUGCAGCAGGGGACCAGGGAUCCCAGAUCGGUUCACAGCAACCGCUUCUGGGAACAUGGGCACUUUAACCAUCACAAAUGCCCAGGCCGAAGACGAGGCCGAUUAUUACUGUUUGUGUUGGUACAGCACAGGCAGCUCGACUGUUGCCAAAAAUUAA